AGCUUUGGGCAGUGGCAGUAUCGUAGCCAAUGAGGUUUAUCUGAGGCGUGAUUAUUGCUAAUUGAAAACUUUUCCCAAUACCCCACCAUGACGACUUGAAAUAUAGUUGGCAUUGGCAAUUUUUGGCAGUCUUUACAGGGA
rnacentral:snRNA from 1 species